CCUACGGGAGGCAGCAGUGAGGAAUAUUGGUCAAUGGGGGAAACCCUGAUGCAGCGACGCCGCGUGGGUGAAGAAGCGCCUCGGCGCGUAAAGCCCUGUCAGCAGGGAAGAAAAUGACGGUACCUGAAGAAGAAGCCCCGGCUAACUACGUGCCAGCAGCCGCGGUAAUACGUAGGGGGCAAGCGUUAUCCGGAUUUACUGGGUGUAAAGGGGGCGCAGACGGCGAUGCAAGCCAGGAGUGAAAGCCCGGGGCCCAACCCCGGGACUGCUCGUGGAACUGCGUGGCUAGAGUGCAGGAGGGGCAGGCGGAAUUCCUGGUGUAGCGGUGAAAUGCGUAGAUAUCAGGAGGAACACCGGUGGCGAAGGCGGCCUGCUGGACUGCAACUGACGUUGAGGCCCGAAAGCGUGGGGAGCAAACAGGAUUAGAUACCCUAGUAGUC
rnacentral:rRNA from 1 species